rnacentral:rRNA from 1 species
AUUGAACGCUGGCGGCAUGCCUUACACAUGCAAGUCGAACGGUAACGGGCCUUCGGGUGCCGACGAGUGGCGAACGGGUGAGUAAUACAUCGGAACGUGCCCGAUCGUGGGGGAUAACGAGGCGAAAGCUUUGCUAAUACCGCAUACGAUCUACGGAUUAAAGCAGGGGACCGCAAGGCCUUGCGCGGACGGAGCGGCCGAUGGCAGAUUAGGUAGUUGGUGGGAUAAAAGCUUACCAAGCCGACGAUCUGUAGCUGGUCUGAGAGGAUGAUCAGCCACACUGGGACUGAGACACGGCCCAGACUCCUACGGGAGGCAGCAGUGGGGAAUUUUGGACAAUGGGCGCAAGCCUGAUCCAGCCAUGCCGCGUGCAGGAUGAAGGCCUUCGGGUUGUAAACUGCUUUUGUACGGAACGAAAAGCCUUCUUUUAAUACAGGAGGGUCAUGACGGUACCGUAAGAAUAAGCACCGGCUAACUACGUG